GUAGGGUGCGAGCGUUAAUCGGAAUUACUGGGGCGUAAAGCGUGCGCAGGCGGCUUUGCAAGACAGAUGUGAAAUCCCCCGGGGCUCAACCUGGGGAACUGCAUUUGUGACUGCAAGGCUGGAGUACGGCAGAGGGGGAUGGAAUUCCGCGUGUAGCAGUGAAAUGCGUAGAUAUGCGGAGGAACACCGAUGGCGAAGGCAAUCCCCUGGGCCUGUACUGACGCUCAUGCACGAAAGCGUGGGGAGCAAACAGGAUUAGAUACCCUGGUAGUCCACGCCCUAAACGAUGUCAACUGGUUGUUGGACGGCUUGCUGUUCAGUAACGAAGCUAACGCGUGAAGUUGACCGCCUGGGGAGUACGGCCGCAAGGUUG
rnacentral:rRNA from 1 species